GCCGCAUCCACACUGACAAGAGUCUCCAGCCUCCUCAGGACCCACUGUGAAGGUUUGAGAAGAUUUGGGGCCACAUCUAUGCUGACAGGAGCCCCCAGCAUCCUCAGGUCUUCUGGUGAGGCUUGAGGAAAAUGUUGGGCCACCUCAACACUGACAGGACCCCCGUCCUCCUCAGGACAUGCACUUUGGCUUCGGGAAAUAUGGGGCUGCGUCUAUGCUGACAGGAGCCCACAGCUCCUCAGGACGUGUGGUGAGUUUUCUGGGGGACGUGUGGCCAUGUCCAGGCUGACAGGAGCCCCGGGCCACCUGAGGACCUGCUGUGAGGCUUCCAGACGAUGUGAGGCAUAGUCCACAGUGACAGGAGACCCAGCGUCCUGUCAGGACCCUCUGACUAUGACUCAGGAACAAUUGGGGCCACGUCCAUACUCACAGGAACCCUGCUUCCUCAGGACCCCCUGGAGGACUCUGGAGGCGCUGUUGGGGGUCACGUCCACAUCAGAAGGGACUACUCAGAACCACAGGGGGCCUGGGAUGGAUGGACCUGUUCGAACCCUGAACUUAAAGAGGAAAGACCUUCAUUUUCUUGGCCUCCUUGCGUCCCCUCCCAUCCUAUCUAGCUCUUUCCCCCUUCCCCGGAGCUCCUGAGAGAGCAAUUGCAAAUGACCUCAGCUUGGCAGGGUCUGUUGGGGGACAGGCCCAGGGAUUUGGGAUCAGGGAGACCUGGGGUGCGGGCAUACCGGCUGUGCAUAGGAAUUUGAUGCUGCAGACUCAUUCCCUAAGGCUAUCUUGACAACUGACUUUGUACAUAGAAAAGCUCUCCUUUAUCUUUAAAAGAUGAAGAGCCAGUCAAAGCCUUUUUUCUCUGCCCAUCUGAUUGCUCAGAUUCCAAUGUGAGAUGUAUUUCCUGUUAAUAAGGAUAAUUUACUAUCCAUAGUACUAUGGUUAAAAUAUUCUGACACAAGUAAUUCAGAGGGAUGAGGGGUUCUCAUCUCUUUCUUCACAGCUCAGUCACUCCUCAGGAAAUGCAUCUUUAUGGAUUUGGAAAGAACUGAGAGACAUUAUUACCAAUGGUCCUAUUAUUAUGUGAAGGAUCCUUCCCUGAGAUUCUUCCCCUGUUUCAACUGACACUGAAACACUUUGAACUCUUUGGAAGACAAAUGUCAAGGAAAUAAAUGUUAUGCAUUGCUAAUUUUAAAUGCCCUU
rnacentral:lncRNA from 12 species